rnacentral:rRNA from 1 species
CCUACGGGAGGCUGCAGUGGGGAAUAUUGGACAAUGGGCGAAAGCCUGAUCCAGCCAUGCCGCGUGUGUGAAGAAGGCCUUCGGGUUGUAAAGCACUUUCAGUGGGGAAGAAAGGCUUGGGGCUAAUACCCUCGAGGAAGGACAUCACCCACAGAAGAAGCACCGGCUAACUCCGUGCCAGCAGCCGCGGUAAUACGGAGGGUGCGAGCGUUAAUCGGAAUUACUGGGCGUAAAGCGCGCGUAGGCGGUCUGAUAAGCCGGUUGUGAAAGCCCCGGGCUCAACCUGGGAACGGCAUCCGGAACUGUCAGGCUAGAGUGCAGGAGAGGAAGGUAGAAUUCCCGGUGUAGCGGUGAAAUGCGUAGAGAUCGGGAGGAAUACCAGUGGCGAAGGCGGCCUUCUGGACUGACACUGACGCUGAGGUGCGAAAGCGUGGGUAGCAAACAGGAUUAGAUACCCGUGUAGUC